rnacentral:rRNA from 1 species
UGGGGAAUUUUGGACAAUGGGGGAAACCCUGAUCCAGCCAUCCCGCGUGUGCGAUGAAGGCCUUCGGGUUGUAAAGCACUUUUGGCAGGAAAGAAACGUCAUGGGUUAAUACCCCGUGAAACUGACGGUACCUGCAGAAUAAGCACCGGCUAACUACGUGCCAGCAGCCGCGGUAAUACGUAGGGUGCAAGCGUUAAUCGGAAUUACUGGGCGUAAAGCGUGCGCAGGCGGUUCGGAAAGAAAGAUGUGAAGUCCCAGAGCUAAACUUUGGAACUGCAUUUUUAACUACCGGGCUAGAGUGUGUCAGAGGGAGGUGGAAUUCCGCGUGUAGCAGUGAAAUGCGUAGAUAUGCGGAGGAACACCGAUGGCGAAGGCAGCCUCCUGGGAUAACACUGACGCUCAUGCACGAAAGCGUGGGGAGCAAACAGG